AAAAACAUGGUUUAUUGAUUUUUUUUUAAAUUUGUUCUGCCCAAUGAUUUAUUAAAUGGCUGCGGGAUUUUAACCGUGCGAAGGUAGCAUAAUCAUUUGUCUUUUAAUUGGAGGCUAGUAUAAAUGAAUAGAUAAAAGAUUAACUUUUUUAGUUUUAUAAUUUGAAUUUAAUUUUAAAGUUAAAAAGCUUUAAUAUUUUUAGAGGACGAGAAGACCCUAUAGAACUUUAUUAUAUAUAGUUAUAUAUAAUAAAUUAUAUAUAACUAUAUAUAAUUGUGUUGGGGUUAUGGAGAAAUUUAUUAAAUUUUCUUUUUUUUAUUUCAAUAUUUUUUGAUUUUUUGAUCCUAUAUAUAGAUUUUAAGAUAAAGUUACCUUAGGGAUAACAGCGUUAUUUAAUUGGAGAGUUCAUAUUGAUAAUUAAGAUUGCGACCUCGAUGUUGAAUUAAAAUUUGAGUUAGAUGCAGAAGUUUAAUUUCUUGGUCUGUUCGACCAUUAAAGUUUUACAUGAUCUGAGUU
rnacentral:rRNA from 1 species